UUGGCUGAGCUGUGGUGCUUCCCAUUGGCUGGGCUGUUGCUAGGUGGGAGAGAAGUCUUCCUGAGUAGUAGAGUGGCUGUGCUUCCUGCGGGAGAUGCGAGCGCCCCACUUCCUGUUUGGUGUGACUGAGGCCAUGUGAUGGGCUGAGGAAAACUAACACACUACCCACACACUGAAGCCACCUUGACUGCUGCUGCCAAAGCUGGAUGGUCUUGAAGAACGACUGCGGAUUAUCGAGUGAGCGCCCCGGAGGGCAAUGGCAAGCACCGUGCAGCCGAGGCCGCAGCUCUUGGAGUGCAUCGGCCGGCUCCCAGCACAGCGGGCCUGGCACAGGCUGCGCUUUCUCUCGCGGUCCCACCAGCAGAGGUCCUCAGAGGUCGCGUCCUUUGCUCUGACCUCAUGCGGGUCGUGCCUCUCGCUCUCUUGUGUGGUGCAGUGUGGCGAGAGCACGAGCUGCCUCGACACCACACUGAGCUUGUGAAGCCUGGUGAACAGGAGGCGGGGAGAAGUCCAGAUGCUUAGUCAGUACCAGUGUGCUUAGUCAGUACCAGUGUGCUUAG
rnacentral:lncRNA from 1 species